AGAGUUUGAUCAUGGCUCAGAACGAACGCUGGCAGCGUGGAUUAGGCAUGCAAGUCGAACGGGAUCCGGUCGGUAGCAAUAUUGACCGGUGAGAGUGGCGGAUUGGGGAGGAACACGUGAGCAACCCGCCCUGGAGAUGGGGAAAACCUCUGGAAACGGAGGCUAAUACCGAAUGUGGCGCCCGGCGGCAUCGCCGGAGCGCCGAAGGGGGCCAAAAGCUCCCGCUCCGGGAAGGGCUCGCGCACCAUCAGCUAGUUGGCGGGGUAACGGCCCACCAAGGCUCACGGUUAGCUGGUCUGAGAGGAUGACCAGCCCCACUGGGACUGAGAUACUGCCCAGACUCCUACGGGAGGCUGCAGUCGAGGAUCAUUCGCAAUGGGCGAAAGCCUGACGAUGCGACGCUGCGUGGAGGAUGAAGGCCCUCGGGUCGUAAACUCCUGUCAUCGGGGAAGAGGCGAGGGAGGCGAACACCCUCCUUAGUUGACGGUACCCGAAGAGGAAGCGACGGCUAACUCUGUGCCAGCAGCCGCGGUAAUACAGAGGUCGCUAGCGUUGUUCGGAUUUACUGGGCGUAAAGGGCACGUAGGCGGCCAGGCGUGUCGAGUGUGAAAUCUCCGGGCUCAACCCGGAAAGUGCGCUCGAGACUGCCUGGCUGGAGUACGGGAGGGGGAAGGGGAAUAUAGGGUGUAGCGGUGAAAUGCGUUGAUAUCCUAUAGAACACCGGAGGCGAAGGCGCCUUCCUGGAACGUAACUGACGCUAAGGUGCGAAAGUCGGGGGAGCAAACAGGAUUAGAUACCCUGGUAGUCCCGACCCUAAACGGUGCAUGCUCGGGGUGGGGGGCUUUCACCCCCCCCGUCCCUCCGCAAACGCGUUAAGGCGCCGCCUGGGGAUUACGGCCGCAAGGCUAAAACUUUCCCAAAUUGACGGGGGCCCGCACAAGCUGUUAGCAUGUGGCUUAAUUCGAUGCAACGCGAAGAACCUUACCUGGGCUUGACAUGCAGCUGCACGACCUAUGAAAGUAGGUCUCCUCCGAGGGUGCUGCACAGGUGCUGCAUGGCUGUCGUCAGUUCGUGCCGUGAGGUGUUUGGUUAAGUCCACCAACGAACGCAACCCCUUAUCCGUGUUGCCAACGGUUCGGCCGGGAACUCGCGGAUGACUGCUGGUUCACGCCAGAGGAAGGUGGGGAUGACGUCAAGUCAGUAUGGCCCUUACGCCCAGGGCUGCACACGUGCUACAAUGGCCGGUACAGAGGGACGCGAAGCCGCGAGGCGGAGCAAACCCCACAGAGCCGGCCCCAGUUCAGAUCGGGGUCUGCAACCCGACCCCGUGAAGUCGGAUUUGCUAGUAACGGCGCAUCAGCUACGGCGCCGUGAAUGCGUUCCCGGGCCUUGUACACACCGCCCGUCACAUCAUGAAAGCCGUCUGCACCCGAAGUCCGGCACUUGUCGGCCUAAGGUGUGGGUGGUGAUUGGGAUGAAGUCGUAACAAGGUAACCGUUGGGGAACCAGCGGUUGGAUCACCUCCUU
rnacentral:rRNA from 1 species